rnacentral:lncRNA from 1 species
AAUUUUGGUUUAGCACUUCCAGUUGACUUAAAAAUUGUCUCUGGAAAGAUGUUUGAUUCGUACCAUACAAGUCAUAUAAGCCGAGAACCUAUCGCGGACUUUAAAUCGGUACGAAUCAGGUAGAAAUUGCAACAGGAAAAUCGAUAGCCGGCUAGUCACCGCACAAACCUUAAAACCGAGAGUAAACCUAGGUCUUGCCCUAAACCCAUCACAUUGGUCUCAGAGAUCUCAAAGACAUGAUAUCUAAAUGAUACGAGAUCCUAAAACCUGUCUCUCCGUUCAUAUCUCAAUGUUCCCGAAAGUUCGUAAGAAUAAAUAAUUAUUACGAAAACUCACGUCUCGAACAAACCAACAGAUCGAACGCCUCAACGAAGAUAAAUGUGAGAAGACAACUCAUGUUUACUUCAAACCUACUCAGUAACUCAAACAAACAUCCAUUAUAUAUAAACUGCAUACCGGUAGGGGAUCAAAGCCACCAACGGCCACUCCCGAUAAAAAUAAAAACGGCCAGAACAGGCCCAUACAAAGUUCGAAAGGCCACACUCGGC